GAAACGAUAGCUAAUACCGCAUAAAAGUCGACAUCGCAUGAUGUUGACUUGAAAGGUGCAAUUGCAUCACUAAGAGAUGGACCUGCGUUGUAUUAGCUAGUUGGUGAGGUAACGGCUCACCAAGGCGACGAUACAUAGCCGACCUGAGAGGGUGAUCAGCCACACUGGGACUGAGACACGGCCCAG
rnacentral:rRNA from 1 species